UUAAAAAUUGUGAUUGAGAGAGUAGCUUUUAUGAAGUUUUCAGGGAGAAAAGAUCAUUGGACUGGAAGUCUUUUUAAAUGAAGUAAUUGUGAAGUUCACUCAGGAGUUCCAGCUGUGAAGUAAUAGUAGCAUCUGGCGGCAUAUAUAUGUCGUUAUUAAAAUUAAGCUGGGUAGCCUUUUAGGUACCAAUCAGGGUGGUAACGCGGAUAAUUCGUCCCUUUU
rnacentral:ncRNA from 1 species